rnacentral:pre_miRNA from 15 species
AACACAAAAAAUGAUCAAACGGUAUUCCAGAGUUGAUAAUAAAAAUGCGUCAGUCCGCAAUCUAUUAUUGCUCGAGAAUACCCUUUGACUACUAUGUGUA